rnacentral:piRNA from 1 species
UUUUGAGGAGCAAUGUAUACAUUAAGGUGUGU